rnacentral:rRNA from 1 species
GCAUAUCAAUAAGCGGAGGAAAAGAAACCAACAGGGAUUGCCUUAGUAACGGCGAGUGAAGCGGCAACAGCUCAAAUUUGAAAUCUGGCCUCUUUGGGGUCCGAGUUGUAAUUUGGAGAGGAUGUUUCGGGUACGGUCCGGGCUUAUAUUUCUUGGAACAGAAUGUCAUAGAGGGUGAGAAUCCCGUCUGGAGCUCGGACACGGCCUAUGUGAAACUCCUUCGACGAGUCGAGUUGUUUGGGAAUGCAGCUCUAAAUGGGUGGUAAAUUUCAUCUAAAGCUAAAUAUUGGCCAGAGACCGAUAGCGCACAAGUAGAGUGAUCGAAAGAUGAAAAGCACUUUGAAAAGAGAGUUAAAAAGUACGUGAAAUUGUUGAAAGGGAAGCGCUGGCAACCAGACUUGCAUGUCGGGGUUCCCCCUUGCUUUUGCCUGGGUUACUCCCCGGCGUUCAGGCCAACAUCGGUUUCGGGGGUUGGUUAAAGGCCCUAGGAAUGUACUUACCCUCCGGGGUAAACUUAUAGCCUAGGGUGUCAUGCGACCUCCCGGGACCGAGGAACGCGCUUCGGCUCGGAUGUUGGCGUAAUGGUUGUCAGCGACCCGUCUUGAAACACGGACCAAGGAGUCUAACAUCUAUGCGAGUGUUAGGGUGUCAAACCCUUACGCGGAAUGAAAGUGAACGGAGGUAGGAAGCCGUUAGGCUGCACUAUCGACCGAUCCUGAAGUUUACGGAUGGAUUUGAGUAAGAGCAUAGCUGUUGGGACCCGAAAGAUGGUGAACUAUGCCUGAAUAGGGUGAAGCCAGAGGAAACUCUGGUGGAGGCUCGCAGCGGUUCUGACGUGCAAAUCGAUCGUCAAAUUUGGGUAUAGGGGCGAAAGACUAAUCGAACCAUCUGGUAGCUGGUUCUGCG